UCUUCUAUCUAUAUAUAAUAGGAGAAGAAAAAAUGCCUACGUGUCAGCACCACAAAAAAAGAGAAUUUAAGAAUUAUUAAAAUUAAUUUAAAAUCUAAAAGUAAAAAACUAAAAAUUGAAAACACUACAAAAAUAAUGAAAAAUUCAACAGGCAGUUUUUACAGCUUUUUUUAAAAAAAAAAUCAAAAAUUUACAGUUACCUUUAAAAUAAAAAUCAAAAAUUUACAGUUACCUUAAUUGUAUAU
rnacentral:lncRNA from 1 species